AACCGCGUACUUUUUGUAGAACGGUCCGGCGAGUUGCGCUGGCUGGCGAGGUUAAGCACCAAAGGUGUGGAGCCGAAGGGAAACCAAGUCUUAAUAGGGCGAAUGAGUCAGUCGGAGCAGACCCGAAACCGGGUGAUCUAUCCAUGUCCAGGUUGAAGUUGCCGUAAAAGGCAAUGGAGGACCGAACCCACAUCCGUUGAAAAGGGUGGGGAUGAGGUGUGGAUAGGGGAGAAAUUCCAAUCGAACCCGGAGAUAGCUGGUUCUCCUCGAAAUAGCUUUAGGGCUAGCCUCAUAUAAGUCUUGCGGAGGUAGAGCACUGAAUUUCCUAGGGGGCGUCAAAGCUUACCGAAGAAUAUCAAACUCCGAAUGCCGUGUAGAUGUUGUAUGGGAGUCAGACUGUACGAGAUAAGUUGGACAGUCAAAAGGGAAAGAGCCCAGACCUGCAGCUAAGGCCCCAAAAUGUGUGUUAAGUGGAAAAGGAUGUGGGAUUUCAAAGACAACUAGGAUGUUGGCUUAGAAGCAGCCAUACAUUCAAAGAGUGCGUAAUAGCUCACUAGUCGAGAGGUCCUGCGCCGAAAAUGUCCGGGGCUGAAACACACUGCCGAAGCUCAGGAAUGAUCCUAGAUCAUUGGUAGAGGAGCAUUGUAUACGGGACGAAGCAGUACCGAUAAGGAGCUGUGGACUGUAUAGAAGAGAGAAUGCCGGAAUGAGUAGCGAGAGGAAGGUGAGAAUCCUUCCGGCCGAAUAUCUAAGGUUUCCAGAGUAAAGCUGAUCUGCUCUGGGUAAGUCGGGGCCUAAGGCCAGGUCGAAAGACGUAACCGAUGGACAACAGGUUGAAAUUCCUGUACCUUAAGUAAACAGAACUGUGGGGACACGUGUGGAGAGCACAAGCCGGAAAUGGAAAAGCCGGUGCAAGCGGGGUAGGAGAUGAAUAGGCAAAUCCGUUCAUCAAUCCGAAGACGUGAUGCGGACCGAAUUAAGAGUAGGGAAGUGUGUGAGCCAUGCGUCAAGAAAAGCCGCUAUUGUUUUACUUAAGCCCGUACCGUAAACCGACACAGGUGGAUGAGGAGAGAAUCCUAAGGCCGACGGGAGAAGCAUUGUUAAGGAACUCGGCAAAAUGACUCCGUAACUUCGGGAGAAGGAGUGCCAGCGAGAGCUGGCCGCAGAGAAUUGGCCCAAGCAACUGUUUAGCAAAAACACAGGUCUAUGCAAAACCGUAAGGUGAAGUAUAUGGGCUGACGCCUGCCCGGUGCUGGAAGGUUAAGAGGAGAGGUUAGCGGUAACGCGAAGCUUUGAAUUUAAGCCCCAGUAAACGGCGGCCGUAACUAUAACGGUCCUAAGGUAGCGAAAUUCCUUGUCGGGUAAGUUCCGACCCGCACGAAAGGCGUAAUGAUUUGGGCACUGUCUCAACAAUGCACCCGGUGAAAUUGAAAUACCAGUGAAGAUGCUGGUUACCUGCGCCAGGACGGAAAGACCCCAUGGAGCUUUACUCCAGCUUGAUACUGGGAUUCGGUAUUGCAUGUACAGGAUAGGUGGGAGGCUAGGAAGUGAUAACGCCAGUUGUCACGGAGCCGCUGUUGGGAUACCACCCUUGCAGUAUUGGAUUUCUAACCAGCGACCA
rnacentral:rRNA from 1 species